CUCACUCACUCACUCACUCACUCUCACACACACACACACAGAUAUAUUAUAGCGACUGUAAGAUGAUCUGGAAGCCGAUGCUCUGCUGAAACUGCAUGAGUAAAAAACGUGAAUCUGAAGAUACUUCCUUUAUAUACGUAAUAAUAAUUCAUGAUCCUGAUAGAGUUUAUGAAUCAUAUCUGUAUAAUGUGGUGCAAUAUGACAAUAAACCCUAGUUCUCCAAUGUAGCAGAAUUAUGUUAAAGCACUGAACAGAGGGGGAGAGAGAUGGAGGGAGGGGGAGCGAGAGAGAGAGAAUGUAAAUUAAACGAGUUGAAAUUAAUCUUGUCGACUGUUUGAUUGUGUGUUUGUUCACAUUAUUAAUGCAUAAAUCGACAGGAACGAUGAACGAUGCUUUUCGUCAUAAAGACAAACAUGACAGGACGCAAAACCAAACUACAUGAAAUAUAAUUUAGCAUAACAUAAUAUUUCUUAAUGAGCAUUAUACUGACAAAACUGAAGAAUUAUUUAUAUGAUUACUGUUAUGAUUUGCUAUAUUUUUGCAUAUUUUCUGUAAGCAUGAAAGUCUGUUUUACACGAGAUUGUACUGAAACGAUCAGAUGUUUAUGAUGAUCAUGUGACUCAUGUGGAAUUAAACUGCUUUUGUUGAAA